rnacentral:rRNA from 1 species
UCAGACGAUGCGUCAUGCAUAUCAAUAAGCGGAGGAAAAGAAACUAACAAGGAUUCCCCUAGUAACGGCGAGUGAAGCGGGAAGAGCUCAAAUUUGAAAUCUUAAAGGGUUUCCCUUUACGAAUUGUAGUUUAAAGAAGUGUUUUCUGUUGAGGUUUUGGUAAAAGUUCUUUGGAAUAGGACAUCAUAGAGGGUGAGAAUCCCGUAUUUGACCUUUACUUUCAACUUUGUGAUACACUUUCAAAGAGUCGGAUUGUUUGGGAAUGCAGUCCAAAAUGGGUGGUAAAUUUCAUCUAAAGCUAAAUAUUGGCGAGAGACCGAUAGCGAACAAGUACCGUGAGGGAAAGAUGAAAAGAACUUUGAAAAGAGAGUUAAACAGUACGUGAAAUUGUCAAAAGGGAGCGUUUGACACCAGUGUUGUUUUUCUGAAAAUCAAUUAAAGAACUGUUUAUGCUAAGUUGUUUAGACUUUAUCAGCUAACUGUUUAGUUUUGAGCUUUUCUUUAAUGCACUUUUCAGUUAACAAGUCAACAUCAAUUUCUUUUGCUGUAAAAAAGCUUGAGGAAGGUGGCUUGAGAUUCGUCUUAAGUGUUUAUAGCCUCUUGCCUAUGCAGUCGGAGAGAUUGAGGUCUGCAGCGUAGAUCCUUCGGGGCUAAAUGCAUUUGUGCUAAGUUAUAGCAUUUUAUAGACAACUUGUUGACUAUGAUUUGUCUUGUAGCUUACUCGCUUAUGUUAUUUUACCUACGCUUAGGAUGUUGAGCGCAUGUCUCUCUCU